GAUGAACGCUAGCGGCAGGCCUAAUACAUGCAAGUCGAACGGGAACACGAUCAAAGUUUGCUUUGGUCUGGUGAGAGUGGCGCACGGGUGCGUAACGCGUGAGCAACCUACCCUUGUCAGGGGGAUAGCCCGGCGAAAGUCGGAUUAAUAACGCAUGACAUCAUUGAGAGGCAUAUUUCGAUGAUCAAAGUUUUAUCGGACUAGGAUGGGCGCGCGUGACAUUGUCUGGUUGGUAAGGUAACGGCUUACCAAGGCUGCGAUGUCUAGGGGCUCUGGGAGGGGAACCCCCCACACUGGAACGGAGACACGGACCAGACGCCUACGGGAGGGAGCAGUAAGGAACAUUGGUCAAGGGAGGGAAGUCUGAACCAGCCAUGCGGGGUGCAGAAAGACUGCCCUAUGGGUAGUAAACUGCUUUGAUACAGGAACAAUCGUCGGUACGUGGACCGGUCUGAGUGUACCGUAAGAAUAAGGAUCGGCUAACUCCGUG
rnacentral:rRNA from 1 species